CCAGUGUGAGAACAGGCCCAUACAACCGUUUCCGACAACGACGACGAAGGAAAACGACCAGAACAUCCUCCGUCGGCGUAGGCUCAGGCGCCAUCGGUUAAGAGAGCCAUAUUCAAUUUACCGAACCUGAAUCCGAUUCAAAACCUAUGCCUGUUUAUCGGCCCACUCUGGCUCCGAAUCUCCCUGCUGAAGCUCCGAUUCCUGAAAGGUACAUAUCUAAGCGGCUAAUUUACAAGAACCAAACCCGCCGCCUCCUUUCAAUUUGCAACCAUGUUAUUUAUUUAUUAAAUUUUCUCUCUUUCUUUGGGUCUUUUAAAGUACAUUUCAUUAUUCAUUUCUUUAGUUGUUGGGGUUUGCAAAAGCUUGGAUUUUGGAAAUAAUUGUUCUAGGAAGUGUAAUCACUGGCGACAUGUGGACAUAAGUUAGUGAAUAAGCGAUCUUGAGUUUAUUUUUAAGUUGUUUAAAAAUUAAAGAAGAAAGAAAUAUUAAACCGUACAAAAGUCUCAAACUUGAGUUCUACACUCUUUAAGCAAUCUUGAAUGAUCUUUUACCAUACUGAAUCUAAGCCUAACUCUAGAACUCAAUGAAGUUAAAUUUCACUUUAUACAUCUUGGUUUUAUAAGCUGCUACUGCUGCUCCUGCGGCAUGAGAAGUAAUUUCGGGAACGUGUGAAGCAAGAUGGAUUGCCGGCAUUCUCUGGCAAGACUUGUCAAAGUAUAGUGAGCAACUCCACUAAUAUUACUGUGAUGCUUAAAUUACAAAUUCAGAAUGUGUUUGCUGUUAGGAAUUAGACCGCUACUAAUUCCGUGACGAUGAGUGAGACAUAAAAUAAUUUAAACGGAGAAGAAAUAAAUGGAGCAAAAAAUUAAUAAGUACAAGUGACACAAGAAUUUACGUGGUCCGGCAAUUGUGCCUACGUCCACAAACCCACACCAAUUUUUUACUAUAUCAACAAGAGAAGAAAAAAUACAACAAAUACACUCUCUGUAUUUUAUUUGCCUAUGCAAAGGCAAUCUCUCAAUUUUCUUUCGUUAAUUUUCUACACAAACUAAAGCCUAACUGCUUCUUAUUUUUGUAUUUUGCUCACUAUCUCUCGUGUUUUCACUUACCACCUUUCUUGCACUUCUCUUUGCACAUCUAUAUGUUUGUUCCUGCUUUGGCCUCGUAUUUAUAGUGAAAAACGUGUCACCCUCAUUAAUUGCAAAUCCAUCAUUUUCAACAAAGGCAAUCUUUCAUUAAAUGCAUGGCAAAAAAAUUCUUCCAAAAAUACGGCUGCAGGGUUGCAAAAUUUGUGAAUCCUAAGACUUAGGCUCUAUUAUUUCAACAAUCUCCCACUUGGAGACUAAUGUGGCUUCACCUUGAGACAUCCUGCGAGCAGUUCCAUAUUGGUGUGGAUCACCUUCAUCGUCUUCAUUUUAGAAGGCCAACUGUAAUUGAACACAACUCCAGUUUUUUCGUAGUUACCGUCUUAGUUAACACGCCAGCUGGGUUUUUGCUGCCCUGGAUCUUUUCCAAUGUUAAUACUCCAUCCUUCAAGAGAGAUCUGAUGAAGUGAUAACGAAGACCAAUGUGCUUCGUUCUCAAAUGAAAUGCUGCAUUCUUUGCCAGAUAUAUAGCACUCAGACUAUCACUGUGCAAAACAUUCUUUUCCUGCUUGAGACCCAAUUCUAUCAACAGACCUUGUAACGAAAUCAUCUCUUUGCUAGUUUUGGUUACGGCCACGUACUCUGCUUCUAUAGUUGAUAAAGCAACAAUCUUCUGUUUUUGCGAAACCCAACUCACUGCAGUAGUACCAACUGCGAAUACAUAACCGGUGGUGCUUUUCCUGUGAUCGAUCUCGCCAGCAAAAUCUACAUCUACAAAGCUUUGUAGUGCCAACUCACCUCUUUUGAAACAUAAACAAUUAUCAAUAGAACCCUGUAGAUAUCUUAGUAUCCACUUCACUACUUCCCAGUGCUGUUUUCCUGGAUUGGUCAUGAAUCUGAUCACAACUCCCACUACAUGAGGAAUGUCGUCUUGUACAGACCAUGGCAUACAUUAAACUUCUAAUGGCUAAGGCGUAUGGAAUAUUAGCAAUGAAGUUUCUUUCGUCUUUUGUUUUUAGAGACUGGUCAUUUAAUAGACGGAAGUGAUUAGCCAAUUGCGUGCUAACUGCUUUUUCAUUGUUUAUGUUGAACUUCUGCAAAACUUGACUAAUGUACUUGGCCUAGAAUAGCUGUAAAGUGUCUUUUCGCUUGUCCCUACAAAUUCUCAUCCCUCGAAUUUGUUUAGCUGGACCCAAAUCCUUCAUUUCGAAUUCUACUGAUAAUUGCUUCUUUAAUUUCUGGAUUUCGUUCAUGUCUAGUCCCACUACUAACAUGUCAUCAACAUAAAGUAGCAAAAUAAUGUAGCUAAGCUUCGGCCUAUUAAAAUAGCAACAAUGGUCAGCAUUGCACUUGUAGUAGCCAUUUUUCUGUAUAAAUUCGUCAAACUUUUUGUACCACUGUCUCGGAGCUUGUUUUAAGCUAUACAAGUUUUUUUUCAAUUUGCACACAAGCUUCUCUUUUCCUUUAAUUGAGAAACUCUCUGGUUGCUGCAUAUAUAUCUCCUCUUCUAGGUUGCCAUGGAGAAAGGUAGUUUUCACAUCUAACUGCAACCCCCCUGUUGCAACAAUACUCAAGACGAAUCGAAUUGUUGUCAGCUUUACUACUGGAGAAUAAAUCUUUGUGUAGUCAAUUCCUUCUUUCUGUUGAAAGCCUUUGACCACCAAUCUUGCCUUGUAUCUCUUUGAUCCGUCAUGUUCCUCCUUGACUCGAUAGACUCAUUUAUUAUGUAGAGCCUUCUUUUCUGCAAGCAACUCAACUAGCUCCCACGUUUGAUUAGAGAUAAGAGACUUUAUCUCAUCUUUCAUUGCAAACUCUCACUUAAUCGCAUCUUCUCCUUGACAUGCUCAUCAUAGCAUUCAAGUUCACUGGCACCAGUAAGUAACAGAUAAUUUAUGUAUUUUCUGUUUGGAAUACGUGGUCGGGAAGAUCUUCUAGGAAUAGGAGUUGGAGACUUUGGUAAAGUCUCCACAACAGCUUCCUCUGGCUGAGGACUCUCAUCUGUCUAUUUUGACAUACUACUACUUGGAGUAUCGUCCAACUCAACAUAUGUUGGAUUUUCAUGUAAGUCACUAGACAGUACUGUAUCUCUGUCUUUGUACAUCACCCUUUCAUUGAAUAUGACAUCCCGACUUCUAAUGACCUUGUUGUUCUUAUCAUUCCAAAAGCGAUACUUGAACUCAUCACCACCAUAUCCAAUGAAGGUACACUUUAGUGAUUUGGGGUCAAGCUUACCCUUAGGUUGAUCACUAAUAUGUACAUAUGCGACACAGCAAAAAAAUUUCAAAUGAGAGUUUUUUUCUUUUCCAUUCCAUACUUCCUCUAGUAUCCUGUACUCCAAAGGCACUAAUGGCCCACGAUUAAUUAAGUAUGCUGCUGUGUUGAUAGUUUCAGCCCAAAAUUGUUUAGGCAAACCAGCAUGUAACCGCAUGCUUCUGGCUCUUUCUGUCAACGUCCGAUUCAUUCGUUCAGAUACACCAUUUUGUUGCGGUGUUCCUGGCAACGUUCUUUCUAGUUUGAUACCAUUUUGGUAACAAAACUUUUUGAAAUCAGUAUGUUCGUACUCUCCGCCAUUAUCUAAUCUCAAUUUCUUUACUCGCAAAUCGUUUCAUUUUCCACCAUAGCUUUCUACUUCUUAAACAUCUCGAACACUUAGGAUUUUUGUCUCAAGAAGUAGACCCAUACUUUUCUGGAAUGAUCAUCAAUGAAAGUCACAAAAUAAGACUUUUCGCCAAUAGAUGGAACUGCAGCUAGUCCCCAGACAUCCGUGUGGACUAACUCUAGCUUUUCCUGCUUCGGAGUUCUGCCACACUUGUUGAAACUCACCCGCUUCUACUUCCCGAAGAUGCAACUCUCACAUAGGUCUGCAUCAAUAGAUUGAACUCUCGGUAGUUUCCCUUUAUCAUGCAUGUACUUGAGUCCUUUCUGACUCAUAUGCCCCAGUCUCUGGUGCCAUAGAUUCGGAUCUUCAUUUGAAGCAGUAACUGCAAUUAUUCUGCAGGCACUCAUUGUGGUGUAAAGAGUACAAUUUUUCUUGCCUCGUGCUAUGGUCAUUGCACCCCUAGAAACUUUCCAAAUAUCACUGUUGAAAGUUAUGACAUAACCUUCAUUUGAUAAUUGGCCCACUGAUAUCAAGUUCUUCCUCAAGUUUGGAAUGUGUCUGACAUCCUUCAAUUUCCAUACAGAUCCAUUAAGCUUGAUCUGUAUUUCGCCUUUGCCGACUACGUCACAAGGUUGAUCAUCACCAAGAUAUACUUUUCCAAGAUUUCUUGGUUCAUAACUCGUAAAGAGUUCUCUAUUUGAGGUAGCAUGAAAAGAUGCUCCAGAAUCUAUUACCCACAUUCUGUUUUGCUUUCCAAAGAGCAUACCAAAGCAUCAUCAGAUUUUUCUGCUACAACAUUGGCUUCGAUUUUGUUUUCAUUUCCUUUCUUGAAAACUUGACACUGAUUUUUGUAGUGUCCGGUCUUGCCACAAUUCCAACAUUCAACAACUUUUAAUUUGUUGAAAUUCUUUGGAUAUCUGGAUUUUGAUCUGCCAAACCUUGACUUGCUCCUGUUAUGCCCUUUACUUCUGUUUGAACUUCUGCCUCUGCUCCUGGAUGUUCAAAGUGGCUUCAGAAGUGGAAACACCUUUUGUCUGUCUUGUAUUUCCUCGAUCAAGAUCAUACUCAUGACAUCUUCAAACUUCAAUAUGGACUUUCCAGCAGAGCUCCUAAUUGCUGUAACCGUGCCAUUCCAACUCUUAGGCAGCUGCCCGAGAAUCAACAAAGCUCGAACCUCAUCACUAAACGUGAUUUCGGCCAUGUUUAACUGGUCCGUCAUUUCAUUGAACUCAUUUAGAUGUUCUCCAAAUCUUUCCCCUUCCGUCAUUUUCAUAGUAAAUAACUUUUUGAUUAAAUGAACUUUGUUUGCUGUAGAUGGUUGUUUGUACAUGCUAGACAGGGCCGCCAUGAGAGAUGUCGUUGUCUUCUCAUUUUUUAUAUUGAAAGCAACUGAAUUUGAUAAUGUCAGCCUUAUUGUGUCGAGAGCCUUUCGAUCAAGUAAUUCCCACUCGUCGUUGGUCAUGUCCUCCGGCUUUUCGUGAAGUGGUUUAUACAGGUUCUUCUGGUACAAAUAGUCCUCCAUUUGUAUCUUCCAAAAUCCAAAGUUUGUGCCAUCAAACUUAUCGAUUUUAGAUAUCUUCUCGUCUGUUGCCAUUUCUCCCAUUUAAAUUUUAGAGCUCUGAUACCAGUUUUUAGGAAUUAGACCGCUACUAAUUCCGUCAUAUCAGUAGGACGCAAAAUAAUUUUAACUGAGAAGAAAUAAAUGUCGCAAAAAAUAAUAAGUGCAAGUGACACAAGAAUUUACGUGGUUCGGCAAUUGUGCCUACGUCCACAAACCCACACCUAUUUUUUUACUAUAUCAACAAGAGAAGAAAAAAAUACAACACACUCUCUGUAUUUUAAUUUUCUGCACAAACUAAAGCCUAACUGUUUCUCACUUUUAUGUUUUGCUCAUUGUCUCUAGUAUUUUCACUCAACACCUUUCUUGCAUUUCUCUUUGCACAUCUAUGUGUUUGCUCCUGCUUUGGCCUCGUAUUUAUAAUGAAAAACUUGUCACCCUCAUUAAUUGCAAAUCCAUCAUUUUCAACAAAAACAACCUUUCAAUAAAUGCAUGGCAAAUUUUUUUUUUUCCAAAAAUACAGCUACAUGGUUGCAAGAUUUUUCCAUCCAUAUUGUUUUGUCAACAGUUGCUACCACCUUUUGACAAAAUGUGUUGACACACAUGAAAUUUUAUGAAGCCUAAGACAUAGGCUCCAUUAUUUCAACAUUUGCAUACCUGAAACUCCUGCAUAUUCUAAUCUUUAAUCUGCAGUCUCCUUGUACGAUUUGGUCUGAAGUGCAAGUUUCAUUUGGUUUAUGCUAUUAAAAAAGUAUCAACCUGUGACACUGACAUCUUUUCUUGAGCUUACAUAUAUACAUUUGAAUGCCUAUAAUAAUAAUAGAAAAAAGGUGGCUUAAAGGCCCUAAACAUGACAUCUUUUUCGUUUUUCUCAUCUUAAAUAUAUCUCAAUUGAGGAUAUACCAAAGCCCUUCUGGUUAAGAUAUGUGUAGUUCGCUACGUGCAGUUUUCCUCCAAUUGAAACGCUAUUUCGCAUAACACUUUCUGUCUCAUUUAACAUUGAAGUUGAAAACAGGAAUAAGAUAUUUUCUCAUUAACAAUGUACAAUACAUGUGUCCUAUUUAUAGAAGAAGGAAGGAAUAAAAGAAAGGAAAGCAAAUCUCUAAUGAACAUACAAUAGUCUAUCUGAGGAAAAUAAAACCUUCAAUAAUCUCUCUUAUUUUAUUCUAAAUUAAUUCAGAAUUUCCAAUACUUCCCCUCAAGUUGGAUCAUAAAUUUUGAUCAUAUCCAAUUUGGAGAUGAAAUCAUCGAACGGUAGUUCUUUGGUGAAGACAUCUGCAAUUUGUGUUUGCGUUGGGACAUAUGUCAUACAAAUAGGUCCUCCUUCAACUUUUUCUUUAAUAAAGUGUCUGUCCACCUCUACUUGCUUAGUUCGAUCAUGUUGAACUGGAUUAAGAGAAAUAUUGAUUGCUGCUUUAUUAUCACAAUAUAGUUUGAUUGGCAAUUUCAUUAUGAUAUGUAAUUCUUCCAGGAGCUUUUUUAACCACAGUCCUUCGCACAUUCCUUGUGCAACAACUCUGAACUCAGCUUCAGCACUGCUUCUUGCUACUACAUUCUGGUUCUUGCUUCUCCAAGUCACCAGAGUUCCUCACACAAAGGUACAAUAACCAGUAGUUGAUCUCCAAUCACCAAUUGAUCCUGCCCAAUCUGCAUCUAUGUAAAUUUUUGGAGAGGUGUUGCAAAGUUUAGGACACAACUAGGCAUUCGAUUGAUUAGAUAGGUGGAUGUAAGGACCGCAUCCCCCCAGAAUAUUUUUGGCAUGUUCGUAGUAAACAUUAGGGCACGAGCAACUUCUAGAAGAUGUCUAUUUUUUUGUUGGACAAUCCCAUUUUGUUGGAGAGUGUCAACACAAGAGCUUUGAUGAAUUAUGUCAUGAGAAUGCAAGAAAUUUCCCAUGAUGUUAUUGAAAUAUUCUGUGCCAUUGUCGGUGUGUAAAAUUUGAAUUUGUGUUUGAAAUUACGUUUGAAUCAUAGAGUGGAAGUUUAUGAACACGGACCGAACAUCGGAUUUUUCUUUUAAUAGAUAUACCCAACAAAUUCGAGUAUUAUCGUCGAUGAAUGUAACAAACCAUUUUGCAUUAUUUCGGUUUGGGACACGUGAGGGCCCCCAUACAUCACUAUGAAUCAUGGUGAAAGGCUUUGAUGGUUUGUACGUGGAUUUUGAGAAUGUCGUACGUUGAUGUUUUGCAAGUUCACAAAUUUCACAUUGAAGAUUGACUGAUUUUUUAUUCCAAAAAAAUAGAAGGAAAGACGUUUCAAGUAUUGAAAGUUGGGAUGAUCCAUUCUAAAGUGCCAUAACAUAAUUUCACUAUUUAUAAAGACAGACGCAGAAUCACAAACUUUAAUUUGACACUGUUUACUCAAAUCAGCCUCUUCAAAGUAGUAGAGUCCUUCACUUUCCUUAGCAUUGCCAAUCGUCUUCCCCGAUGAUAGAUCCUGAAAAACACAGUAAGAUGGAAGGAAUUUAGCAGAGCAGUUGGAGGUUUUUGUUAACUGGCUUAUGGAUAGUAAAUUGCAUGAUAAAUUUGGAACAUGAAGAACAGGUUCUAAAGUUAUAGAAUCGGAAAUUUGAAUACUCCCUUUUCUUGCGACAGUAGAUAGAGAACAAUCUGCAAUCUUAACUUUAAGAUUGCCAGCACAUGUUGAGUACGAAAAGAAUAAGUGGUAGGAAUCCGUCAUAUGAUUAGACGCUCCCGAGUCAAUGAUCCAGGGCGUUUUAGUUUGAGUGAUGGAUUUUAAAGCUCUCAAAAAAUUACCUCUGUGGGCGAGUGAACUUGAAGGAUUAUUUGUGGAGGUUUGACUUGACGGUUGGAGAGUAGCGAACAUUUUGUAAAGUUGCUCCAUUUGCUUGGGAUUGAAAGCACCACUGGAACUCUGGGUAUUUUCUGUAGAAUAAUUGAUAGAUGCUUGAUAACCAUGAUUUCUAUUAUUUUGCCUCGAUUUCCAAUCGGUCAGCUUUCCGUGUAAGUCUCAACGUGUGUCUUCCUUAUGUCCUGGCUUACGACAGUAUUCACACCAGGGUCGACCCUUUUGUUUUGAGCCUGACCCAACUGCUAACCCUUUUUAUAUAAGCCCAUUCCGCCAGGCCCAACAUUAGUUGUAGCCUCGCUUUGAAGUUUUGAUGGAUCCACAUUUUAAAGAUUGGAGGCCUAUUAUUUGGAGGCCCAUUCCCUUUCACAACCAUGCCAGAGCUUUCGAUCCUCGACGUUGCAGACUCAAACACGCUGGUUCCAUUCAUCAUAACCUUCUGUUGGUUUUCCUCUCGCCUUACCUCCGCGAUCACCUCUCGUGGUGAUGGUAGUGGCUGUUGACCGAGGAUUCGACCUCUAACAUUGUCGAGGUCACGGUGAAGCCCAGCGAGGAAUUCCAAAAAUCUCUCAUUCUCCAGCUUUUUCCGGUAAUAGGCGCAGUCCUCAGGGCACUUCCACUUCUCUUCCGAACUCAGAUCGAGUUCUUGCCAGAGCGCAGUCAUCUCAAGGUAGUAGUCGAUUACAUCCCGUUCUCCCUGCUUGGUUUGCCAUAACUUCAAUUUAAUUUCAAAAAUCUAGGAGGAAUUUUCAGAAUCCGAAUAAGUCUCUUUCACAGCUUCCCAAACAGCUUUUGCAGUAGGUAGAAACAAGUAUGUCUUUCCAAUUGUGGGCCUCAUGGAGUUGAUGAGCCACGCAGUCACCUUGGAGUUCUCCGAUCUCCACUUUUGAAGGAGAAUUGUGUCGGUUGAGGUAGGCAUCUUAGUCUCUCCAGUCAGGUACCCAAGUUUGGCUUUUCCAUCAAUAAUCAAUUUGAUAGAUUGCGCCCAUUCUCUAUAAUUUCGUCCAUCCAAUUUUUCUACCAUGAAUUGAAAGGAUGAACCUUCAAUUCCUCCACUCACGGCAGAGGUAGCCUCCGUUCCUUCAUUGAAAGAUUCAGAUGUCAUUGACCCUGUGUUGGUGGUGGCAGUUUUUGUCAUUGGAAUGGCUCUGAUACCAUGAAAUUGAAAACAGGAAUAAGAUAUUUUCUCAUUAACAAUUUACAAUACGUGUCCUAUUUAUAGAAGAAAGAAGGAAUAAAAGAAAGGAAAGCAAAUCUCUAAUGAACAUACAAUAUUCUAUCUAAGGAAAAUAAAAUCUUCAAUAAUCUCUCUUAUUUUAUUGUAAAUUAAUUGGGGAUUUCCAACAAACAUAUAUAAUAAUAUAUAGUGCAACGCCCCGAAUUCUCGAAACCCGAAGCGUUAAAAUAAUAUUCGUUUCUUUCUUUGGUCCCCUUUGACACUAGCCAAAGUAUUUUAUAAAUCCAAUUUUUCUUUUAAAUAUAUAAAAAUAUAAUGGAAGGUAGUUAUCCAUAUAAACUUAGGCGAAUGUAGCAAAAUUUGAUUUUGUAAAAGAUUUGAAGGUAAAUCGACAAUUACGGAUUUAACAACAACGAAAGAAAAAUAUAUUUAGCCUAGCAAAUGUCUAUUAAAAUUUAUGAAAUUUUUACAGGGAUUAAAGCAUUCAUAUAUGUACCACAUAUAAAAAUUUGGGGUUUCGACGAUAACGUUUGAAGCACAAAAAUAUUACUCGAAUAUGCUGGACAGGGAUCUCGGAUUCGACACGACGCAAUUUAUUAAAACGGACAUAACUUUUUUUUAGAUAAUAUUUUUGAGAAAUUCCAAAGGCCACUAUUAGAAGACUCAUAGACCUUUCAAACCCCACUAAUAUCACUUAAAAACAUGCACCGUAGCCCAAGUUAUACAAUUUUCAAAUAGGACAAAAUCUGAAAUUUAACCCAGCAUAAAUUUAAACUUCAUACAUAUUCAAUCCAACACUUCUAAAUUCUAGUUAACAUGCAUUGUCUAUGAAACUAGACAAAAUAAACUUUAAAACAUUUCUAAAAAGUGUCAUCUAAGUAUCCAUAAAAUGUUUACAUAAAUGGAAAUAUUUACUAGAAAUUGAAAGCAUUAGAGAUCGCCGAACACUUGCCACUAUGCCAACAACUGCCAUGUCUCGAUCUUAACCUGUAAAAUUAUUUGUAGGGAUGAGCGCUAUAAAAAAAAUACUCAGUAGGAAGCACUUAAGUAAACGGUAAAAAUAUAUAUUUUCAGUAAUGUAAAAUUUAUUCGAUUAUGUCACCGUCAAUUUCAAGCGAACUGGUGAUCAGUCAGCCUGCUUACUUUUAGGUUUUGAUAACCCCCUUUCAUUUGUCAUAAUCAUAUCUUCAUAUCUUGUAUAAACCACCAAACGGUGAUUCCAUCGUGAGUAACACAAUAAGAAGUUUCACGCAAACAAAAACAUAUAAAUCUUAAAUCACAUAAAAAAGCGCCGAAACACCCCUACCUUAAUGUUUGGAGUUUGAAUAUCCUUUUGUGUCCAAAGGAAUAAAACGCAGCGUACUUCUUGCCUUUUCUUUAGAAAUUUCAGAUUUAAAGUACUUUAUGUUGAUGAAAGAAAAAAGGCGAAAUAACUUUAUAUAGGAGUAUAAUAGUUUGGGCGAUAAAACAUGGCUAAAGGAGUUGAAAUUGAGAAGGUGGCUGAGCAUGCCAUUCCAUUUACACCAGAAUUCUGUGUCUGUGCAUGAGAAAGAGAUGGGAUUAUAAUAAAACGUUGCUUAUGCGUGUGAGUUGGAGACUUUUAAAAUAAAAGGGCAGUUUUAAAUCAAAUUCUAAGUAAAGUCGCGGUAGUAGAUGUAUUAAAAAAAAAUGGAGGUUACACUCGAGGAAAUGGGAGUGGUGGUUGUAUUUAAAAUUGGAGGUUACAAAAGUAUGUCGGGAGGUUAAAAUUUAGAAUAUUGACUUUCAAAUGGAUAUUGAACAGGAUGUACAGUAGCCUCCAAACGCAAUAGCAAUUGAUGAUUAUGGUGGUUAAUGGUAAGUUGGAAUGGUAGUUUUAUAAAUAAUAUUUUGGACCAUAAAAAAAGACAAAAACUUCCAAAUUCAAAUAGCAAAAUGGGAUAGGGACGUGCCAUUAUAAUCCUUUGAAUUCAUAUGGCAGUUUACGGGUAUUAAAUUGGUUUGUGAGAUAAUCAAACACUAAAUGGUAGUUUUUCAUUAAAAAAAAAAAAAAAGGAAAUGAAACUGAUUGGCAAAGCAGUUAAUAGGUUUGGAAUUUAUUAAUAUGCAGGGGGGGUGUUGUGGCCUUUUUGAAAUGUUAGUUUUCCAACAAUGAGUAUGGACGUGCCUUUAGAAAUUGUGGGUGGUUAUGGUUUUGAAAUGUUAAUCUUCAACGGAUGAACAGGGCAUGUAACUUCCCAAUGAUCAAAUGACAAAAUUUUUAUUUAUAUAAAUAUAUAUCUUUUGAUAGUUAUUUUCAAAUAAAAUGGAAGUUUAUUAAAAUGGUAAGCUGGAGUAUAAAUGAUGGAUGAUGAAGCAUGCAAGUAAUUUGUCCAAAAAAAUAAAAUAGUUUAUAUAAUGGAAACCGAAAUGGUAGUAUUAAAAUAAAGUGUGUCGUAAGAAAAAUAAUGUAACCAAAUUAUCAUAAAAAAUUUUUGGUUAAUAGCGAUUUUAACACCCUGUAAAAUUUAAGAAAAUCAAGUACGCGGAAUUUUACUAUUAGGAAGUGUCGUAGUGACAUAAUAAUAUGACCCAGAUUAUAUUUGAGUCCUAUAAGGAAAUUUUAUUUUGGAAUGAAACGAAACAAUUUUUUUUCCGGUCGCUACAACUCUCCCCACUUAAAAUAAUUUCAUCCUCAAAAUUUAACUUACUUGUUUUAAGGAGAUCGAGAUACUUGGCUAAAAUGUCUUCUUCUCGUUUCCAAGUAGCCUUAUCCUCACCAUGUUUACUCCUCUGGACUUUGACUAGUGGAACCUUUCGAUUUCUCAGGACAUGGUCCUUUCUUUCCAGGAUUAUUGCAGGAGUUUCUUCAUACGUCAUAUCACUCCGCACAUCCAGUGAUCGAACAUUUACCACAUGAUUAGGAUCCGAAAUGUACUUUCUCAACAUAGAAAUGUGAAAUACGUUGUGCACUGCCGAAAGCUCGGGUUGCAAUGCUAAUCGAUAUGCCACAUUCCUAAUCUUUUCAAGAAUCUCAAAUGGACCGAUAAGUCUAGGGCUUAGCUUCCCUUUCUUUCCAAAUCGUAGUAUUUCCUUCAUUGGUGCCACUUUGAGAAAUACUCUCUCCAAUCUCGAAAGUCAAUUCUUUUCUCCUUUUGUCAGUAUAACUCUUUUGACGAUCUUGGACAGUCUUGAUUCUUGAUCUAAUUUUAUAUAUAGCCUCCAUAGUCUUCUCGACCAAUUCUGGGCCCAAAAUUCUCCUUUCACCAAUUUCAUCCCAGUAUAAUGGCGAACGACAUCGUCUACCAGACAAAGCCUCAUACGGGGCCAUGUCAAUAGUGGCUUGAAAGCUAUUGUUGUAUUCGAAUUCAACCAACGGCAAAUGAUCUUCCCAUUUACCACCCAAAUCUAGGACGCGAGCUCUCAACAUAUCUUCAAGAACUUGUAUAGUUUGUUCAGAUUGUCCGUCAGUCUGAAAAUGAUAUGCAGUACUAAAUGUUAACUUGGUACCCAUAGCUUUCUGAAGACCUAUCCAAAACUUCGAAGUAAACCUCGGGUCUCUAUCUGAAACGAUAGAUGCUGAAACACCAUGAAGUUUCAUAAUCUCCUUGACAUAAAUUUGUGCAAGCUGUUCUAAGCUGUAGGUUGUCUGAACUAGCAAGAAAUGCGCAGAUUUUGUAAGUCGGUCCACAAUAACCCAGAUCGCAUCAUGACCUUUCACUGAUCUAGGAAAACUAAUGACAAAAUCCAUUGCAAUCUUUUCUCACUUCCAUUGAGGUAUGUCCAUGGGGUUCAACAGUCCUGACGGCCUCAAAUGUUCAGCCUUCACCUGUUGGCAAACCAUGCAUUUGGACACGAAUAGAGCUAUCUUCCCCUCAAUAUUUCUCCACCAAAAUGUAUUACACAAAUCUCGAUAUAUUUUAGUUCCACCUGGGUGGGCGGCGUAAAGAGUUGAGUGAGCCGCAGUCAUAAUUUCAUUUCUCAACGCUUCAUCCUUUAGCACGCACAAUCGACCCUUAAAUAUCAAGGUUUUGUCUUCGGCUAUUUCAAAUCCCUUCCUCUUCUCAGUUCUUACAUCAGCCUUGAUAUUUUCCAAAAAGGGAUCAUCUUUCUGAGCGGCUACUAUUCUGUCCCUGAGUGUCGGUUUCAUAGUAAAACUUGCUAACUUUGCCGAUGUCCUUAUUGGUGACGUUAAUACUUCGAUUCUCAAGUUUUCAAAAUCUCUUAUUAAAUGAUCUUAUCUUGUACACAGUGCUGACAAGUGGCCCAUGUUCUUUCUACACAGUGCAUCAGCAACUACAUUAGCCUUACCCGGAUAGUACACGAUAGUGCAGUCGUAAUCUUAACUAAUUCUAACCACCGUCGCUGUCUCAUAUUCAACUCCUUUUGGGUGAAGAAGUAUUUGAGACUCUUAUGAUCGGUGUAGAUCUCACACUUGCUCUCAUAUAAGUAGUGGCGCCAAAUCUUCAAGGCGUGCACUACCGCUGCUAGUUCAAGGUCAUGCUUUGGAUAAUUUCUGUUCAUAUUGCUUCAACUGCCUCAAAGUAUAAGCUAUCACUUUUCCAUGUUGCAUCAAAAAACACAUCCUAAACCAAGCUUGGAUGCAUCACUGUAAAUCACAAAACCUUCUGAACCAUCAAGAAUAGUCAAAACCGGCGCAGAUACGAGCCUGUCUUUUAACUCUUGAAAAUUUUGUUCGCAUUUCUCCGACCAUACGAACUUAGUACUCUUUCGAGUCAACUGUGUCAUAGGACCUGCAAUCUUAGAGAAUCCUUCUAUAAAUCGCCGAUAAUAGCCGGCUAACCCUAGAAAGUUCCGCACUUCUCCAACAUUUGUAGGUUUCGGCCAAUUUAUCAUGGCCUCAACUUUGGAUUGAUCCACUUCAAUUCCUCGUGCUGAAAAGUAUGGCCUAGAAAUCUCACUCGGUCAAGCCAAAAUUCACAUUUCUUGAAUUUGGCAUACAACUUGUCCUCACGCAGGGUUUCCAAAACUAUCCUCAAAUGUUCUUCGUGUUGCAGGGAAUCCCUCGAGUAUAUCAGUAUGUCGUCAAUAAAUACAAUGACAAACAGUCCAAAUACUGAUGGAACACUUUAUUCAUCAAGUCCACAAACAUCGUAGGGGCAUUCGUCAAGCCAAAGGGCAUCACCGUAAACUCAUAAUGCCCAUACUGAGUCCUAAAUGCCGUUUUUGGUAUAUGACCGACUUAAUCUUCAGUUGAUGGUAGCUUGACCUUAAAUCAAUUUUUGAGAAUACGGAUGCGCCCUUCAACUGAUCAAAUAGGUCUUCAAUCCUAGGAAGAAGUUACUUAUUUUUGAUCGUCAACUUAUUCAAUUUACGGUAGUCGAUGCACAGCCUCAUAGUACCAUAUUUCUUCUUUACAAAAAGUACUGGAGCUCCCCAUGGAGAUGCACUCGGUCUAAUAAACCCUUUUGUCUAGAAGUUCUUCUAGCUGCAUCUUUAACUCUUGUAAUUCAUUUGGUACCAUUCGAUAUGGAGCUUUUUUUUUGGACACAGGAGUAGCUUCAGGUACCAAAUCUAUCGAGAAUUCCACUUGUCUAUUGGGCGGAAUACUCGGUAGAUCAUCGGGAAACACGUAAGCUUACUCCGUAUUAUUGGCACAUCAUCCAAUAUUUUCUCUUGAGAUGAGGUGCCGAUAAGAUACCCUUGGCAGUCAGGCUUCCUCAACAUGUUUUUUGCCUUCAAAGCUAAGAUGACGCGAGGAAGUGCCUUAACCUUCGAUCCAUAAAAUCUGAUUUCCUCCUCCCGAUCUUUGAAAAAUUACCUCUUUCUCAAAACAUACUAUCGUGGCUCGAUUUUUACCUAAUCCAUCCAUGCCUAAAAUAAUAUCACAGUCUUUCAUCUCUAUAACGUACAAGUCAGCCUCUAACGCUAGUCCAUCAAAAUUUAUUUGUACCCCAUCAAAAUUUAUUUGUACCCCUUGUGCUAUCCUAUCUGUAUCAAUAGUUCCUCCUGAUGGCAUACUAACCUCUAGUACAUUAUCGCCCCUAGGGCAUAUCUCCCAGUGGCAAAGGGGAGGGCGGAUAGGGCUCAGCGCGGCAGUGUGCAGAGUUCGAUUCCCCGCAAGGUGGAAUUGGCUUUGUUGCAAGCGGGAGUUAUCAUAUGGGUUAACAGCCUUGGCCUAUCCAUGUGCUCUCCACCCUGGCUCCUGGGAGGCACAUCCUGCGAUUUACCUCCUCCACGAUGGCCCAGGCCAGGGUCGGUGGGGGUCCUUAAGGUUGGGGUUCAACCUCUAGUACAUUAUCAUUCUUCUUACAUGAAGCAUUAAUAUUAGCUAGACAUGCAUUAGAUAUGAACGAAUGUGUUGCACCGAAAUCAAUAAGGACAUAAACUGGAGUACCAGAGACGGAUAAAAUACCUACGAGUACGUCCGGAUUUUAGGCAGUCUCGUCGUGAGUCAGAGCAAACACCCUUGCUUUUCCUUUCUUCUCUUGUUCAGGUUUCUUAAUCGAUGGACAUGAGAAAACCACAUGGCCAGGUUGGCCACACUUAUAGCAAGCAUACUUUCCAUACAGACAUUCCCCUCUGUGAAACUUGUUACACUUAGGUCAUUGGGAUGGAGGAUUACUUGACUGGCCCACAAGUGUUUGCUUCUUAAACUGUCAAGAAUUCUUAUUCUUAUCCUGCCACUUCCUUUUUCCAAAGUCAUUACGCUGUCCCUGAUUUACCAACUUCACCCCCGAAUAUGUUACUAUUUGAGCUUUCUUCACAACUGCUUGAAAAGUGGUGAAAUCGUGUGAACUCACAAUCUGCCUAAUCUCUGGGCGUAGGCCUCUCUUGUAACGUUUAGCCUUCAUGAGCUCAGUACUUACAAGAUGUGGGGCAUAUCGGGACAAUUCCUCGAACUUGCUCUGAUACUCGAAAAUUUCCAUAUCUCCCUGUAUCAGUCUUAGGAAUUCUGCCUCCUUAUAGUCUCGUAGAACUUGUGGGAAAAACUUCUCUGUUAGCACCAUUUUGAACUGGUCCCAAGUUAAAUUACGUUGUUCUUCCUCGGUGCGAGUACGUGAUGAGGAUUCCCACCAAUGGGUUGCUCUUCCAACUAGCAUAAACUUAGCACAUGAUACUUUUUGAUUUUCUAGACAAGAGAUAUGCCAAAAGAUUUUCUCAAUAGUACGUAACCACUCUUCAGCUGCCAGAGGGUCUUUCCCUCCACCAAAGGUAGGGGGUUGAUAUCUGCGAAAUUGUUCUACCGUCGGAAUAGACGGUACAUGUAGAUAUGCUAAUGGCACUAGCGGUGCUAGUGGGAUUGGUGGAGCUGGAGGUGCAGCCUGAGCAACCAAGGCCUGUUUCAACUCAUCAAUCUCUCGCCUUAGUUCCCUAAUUGUCCUUGCUUGCGCCAUAGUCAUAUAUACCAUCAUAAAUGUAAUCUCAUUCAGAGAAGUCGAGAAUACUUGCACAAUAUAGGGAAGAGAUUUAUAGUUGAGAAUCUUUUAUUAUCAUCUAAAUAGAAUCCUUUAACAGGAAUACAAAGUAAUAACAGAGCAUCUGACGCUAAUCAACAAGAAAACAAAAGGAAUCCAACUAGACAUCAAUAACAACUAAACCUAAUAAAAUCUACUGAAAUUUUGAUCCUCUAUUCAUCGUCGUCACUAAUCCAGCCUCCAUGAACCCUAGGUUUCUUAGAAGGCUGUGCCUCGUCGUCUGAAACAGGUGGAGGUGCAUCAUCAUGAACGUACAUCUCAGUAGGUACACUACCGUCCUCAGGGAUCGCGAGUUGGGCCAACUCCCACUGAUCAAUCAGCUCCAUGCAAAAAGGCCUCAUAGUUAAUCUCUCGAGGCAAAGUAGGCACAGCAAUACCCCAUAAAUAAUCAUAAAUCGAUUCAGCAGUCUUCAGCCACUCUUCUGGCAAGGUAUCAAUAAGAAGGCGGGUGGCUCGACGACCAAUGACCAUAUAGCCUAGUUAUCUCACCUCUCUCCACCUUACAAGUAUCUCCCAAAUGUGCUCACGCAUAUUGUACGUUGGAUUCCACUGGUACUCUUCGUACUGUCUCAUGAUCUCACAUCGACAAGGCAUCAAUUAGCGGGUAUCUAAUAGGUUUUAGUUAAUUCUCGAGGACUUAAAUAAAUAUUUAAUAUGGUCACGUUCUCAAAAUACUUUGCAAAAUAAUGAUUAUUCACAAAAGGUAUUCAACUCAAACAUGCAUUAAUAUUCAUAAAUACAUUUCAAAUGUUGUAUCAGAAAUAACUAUUCCAUAAUCAUCACAUAGAUACAAGCAUAACCAUAAAACUUUCUUUACCUCAAAAUCGGCAUGACGCGACUAUGGCGGGCAUAGUGCUUAAGAUCCUCAUUAAAAGUUUUAAUCAACUUUAUAUGUUACACAACAUUCCUAAGAUAUGGUUUCUAUUGCAAGUCUACAGAAAAAUACCCAGGCUCUAAUAUCAAGUUGUAACGCCUCGAAUUCUCAGAACUCGAAGCGUUAAAAUAAUAUUCGUUUCUUUCUUUGGUUUGACCCCUUUGACGCUAGCCAAAGUAUUUUAUAAAUCCAAUUUUUUUUUUAAAUAUAUAAAAAUAUAAUGGAAGGUAGUUAUCCAUAUAAACUUAGGCGAAUGUAGCUAAAUUUGAUUUUGUAGAAGAUUUGAAGGUAAAUCGACAAUUACGAAUUUAACAACAGCGGAAGAAAAAUAUAUUUAGCCUAACAAAUAUCGAUUAAAAUUUAUGAAAUUUUUACAUGGACUAAAGCAUUCAUAUAUGUACCACAUAUAAAAAUUUGGGAUUUCGACGAUAACGUUUGAAGCAUGAAAAUAUUACUCGAAUAUGCUGAACAGGAAUCUCAGAUUCGACACGACUUAGUUUAUUAAAGCGGGCAUAACUUUUUUUUUAGAUAAUAUUUUUGAGAAAUUCCAAAGGCCACUAUUAGAAGACUCAUAGACCUUUCAAACCCCACUAAUUUCACUUAAAAACAUGCAUCGUAGCUCAAGUUAUACCAUUUUCAAAUAGGAGGACAGAAUCUGAAAUUUAACCCAGCAUAAAUUUAAACUUCAUACAUAUUCAAUCCAACACUUCUAAAUUCUAAUUAACAUGCAUCAUCUAUGGAACUAGACAAAAUAAACUUUAAAACAUUUCUAAAAAGUGUCAUCUAAGUAUCGAUAAAAUGUUUACAUAAAUGGAAAUAUUUACUAGAAAUUGAAAGCAUUAGAGAUCGUCGAACGCUUGCCACUACGCCAACCACUGUCAUGCCUCGAUCUUAACCUGUAAGAUUAUUUGUAGGGAUGAGUGCUAUAAAGAAUACUCAGUAGGAUGCACUUAAGUAAAUGGUAAAAAUACAUAUUUUCAGAAAUGCAAAAUUUAUUCGAUUGUGUCACCGUCAAUUUCAAGCGAAUUGGUGAUUAGUCAGUCUACUUACUUUUAGGUUUUGAUAACCCCCUUUCAUUUAUCAUAAUCAUCUCUUCAUAUCUUGUAUAAAUCAUCAAACGAUGAUUCCAUCAUGAGUAACACAAUAAGAAGUUUAACGCAAACGAAAACAUAUAAAUCUUACAUCACAUACAAAAGCGCUGAAGCACCCCUACCUUAAUGUUUGGAGUUUGAAUAUCCUUUCAUGUCCAAAGGAAUAAAACGCAGCGUACUUCUUGCCUUUUCUUUAGAAAUUUCAGAUUUAAAGUACUUUAUGUUGAUGAAAGAAAAAAGGCGAAAUAACUUUAUGUAUGAGUAUAAUAGUUUGGGCGAUAAAACAUGGCUAAAGGAGUUGAAAUUGAGAAGGCGGUUGAGCAUGCCAUUCCAUUUACACCAGAAUUCUGUGUCUGUGCAUGAGAGAGAGAUGGGAUUAUAAUAAAACAUUACUUAUGCAUGUGAGUUGGGGACUUUUAAAAUAAAAGGACAGUUUUAAUUCAAAUUCUAAGUAAAAUGGCCGUGGUAGAUGUAUUAAAAAAAAUGGAGGUUACACUCGAGGAAAUGGGGGUGGUGGUUGUAUUUAAAAUUGGAGGUUACAAAAGCAAGUGGGGAGGUUAAAAUUUAAAAUAUUAACUUUCAAAUGGAUAUUGAACAGGACGUAUAGUAGCCUCCAAACUCAAUAGCAAUUGAUGAUUAUGGUGGUUAAUGGUAAGUUGGAAUGGUAGUUUUAUAAAUAAUAUUUUGGACCAUAAAAAAAGACAACAACUUCUAAAUUCAAAUGGCAAAAUGGGUAGGGACGUGCCAUUAUAAUCCUUUGAAUUCAUAUGGCAGUUUACGGGAAUGAAAUUGGUUUGUGAGAUAAUCAAACACUAAAUGGUAGUUUCUCAUAAAAAAAUAAGGAAAUGAAACUAAUUGGCAAAGUAGUUAAUAGGUUUGGAAUUUAUUAAUAUGCAAAGUGGGGGUGGGGGGGGGGGUUAUGGCCUUUUUGAAAUGUUAGUUUUCCAACAAUGAGCAUGGACGUGCCUUUAGAAAUUGUGGGUGGUUAUGUUUUUGAAAUGUUAAUCUUCAAUGAAUAAACAGGGCACGUAACUUCCCAAUGAUCAAAUGACAAAAUUUUUAAUUAUAUAAAUAUAUAUCUUUUGAUAGUUAACAACAAAUAAAAUGGAAGUUUAUUAAAACGGUAAGUUGGAGUAUAAAUGAUGGAUGUUGAAACAUGCAAGUAAUUUGUCCAAAAAAAUAAACGCGGAAUUUCACUUUCGUGACCAAAGUUUAAUUUGGACUAUUAGGAAGUGUCGUAACGACAUAAUAAUAUAACCAAGAUUAUAUUUGAGUCCUAUAAGGAAAUUUUAUUUUGGAACAAAACAAAACUUUUUUUUUUUCCCGGUCGCUACAUAUAGAGAGCAAAAGGUUUCAUGGGUAUAAUUUGUCAUGGUUAAAAUAAUCAGUAUUCAACCGAGAAAAACCUUCACACACUGAGAACAAAGGUAUAACCUUGUAUAACUAAUAAUAUUUAAUUUUUGUGAAUUUUCAUUAAAAAGCAAUUGAAGCAUGGGACAUGAUUACCAUUAGUUCAGUUCUCUGUAUUACUGACAUUGCAGCUACCUAACUUCUCCACAUGCUCUUUUUUCAACAUUUGUAGGAAGCCUUUUAGACUCUGAUCUACCAUAUAGUAUUUUGACAACAUUGAGGCAUCAAAUAAAGGGUGGUGCACGGACAGCCCAAAUUCCUCACACGCUUUCUAUAGCUCUCAAUUGGCACACUAAGUCUGUAACACUGUACAAUGGUCUGGAACUCAUGGUAAGUAUUUGAUGCAGCUAAACUUGCUGUUAUUUUCUGCCCAGAUAUUUGCCUGGUUGAUUUAUCAAACCUCGCUGUUUAAUUACAUUAGGCAAAGCACUAAUAUGCUUGAAGGUUUAAAUUGAUAGAGGUCCCUCUUAUAUAUGGAGAUGUUUCAGAAACUUUAGUGGUGAAUUUUUUCUGGAGACCCAAAUAGCUCUAGUGUUGUACAGUUUAGUGGCAUUGACUUGUAUAUUGGGUGUCUCAUGGAAUGGGUUGGACGUUACCUGGUAUGUCCCAUGAUGAUGGUAUCCUGUCAUUAAAACUUAUUGAAAGAGCAGUAUAGUUAAAAACCAAUUCUGGUAGCUCAAUGCUUUCGUGUACUGGAUAGUUGUCGUACAUCUUUAGUGAAAAGCAGCAGAUAUGGUUUACUCUAAAAAUAUAUUCUUGAAUGCCUAAUUGAGUAGCUGUUUAAGCUUUCUUGUUUGUUAAUUGUAGAGCAUCACAAGAAAAGAACGCUAGAACGGAAAAGAAGAUAGAGAACAGAGGAGAAAGAAAGCUAAAUCCUUUAUAAGUAGAGGGGAAAGAGUUGUUAACAUGCAUUUUCAGAAUGAAGAAACUUGGAGGGAAAUAUGCUGAGGAAGUGCGUAUUACUGACAAUGUGGGUAAUAUGAAGGGGAAUCAAGAUGAAGAGAAGUGGUCUAAUGAGUUCUUUAAGAUAACUAUGGAACUUUUUAAUCAUUUAAGCUGUUAGACAGGUUCAGAAAGCUAAGCUUAUGAAAUAUCUUUUAAUCUCCGAAAUUCCUGCUAUUUACUGUUUAGAUUGAUUCAAUAUUGGAUCCAAUAUUAGUAAUGCGGUUUGUUUGAUCUGUUGGAAUAUAUUUGUUAUUAGCUGUUGUUCUUGCCUUUUUGAUUUGUUUUAUGAAGCUAGUCUUCAGCUCAUCUUCUUGCAUCUGCUGGAAUGGAUCAUACCAUCUGUGUAUGGAAUGUGUGGAGUAGAGACCAGAAAAAGCACUCGUGUUGAAUUUUCACAAGGCAGCUGUGACAGACGUGAAAUGGUCACAGCAGGUACUACUUAUCCUCUAUUGUGGUUACGACUGUGCGUCAAGAUUAGUUGAUGUUGAAAAGGGGAUAGAAAUUCAGGUUUUCAAGGAACAUCAAAUUGUAAAAGUUAAAUUCCAUCCGCACAACUUCAACCUUUUCCUGUCUGGUGGGUCAAAAGGACUCCUAAAAUUUUGGGAUGUCAGGAGUGGCAAGGUGAACCACGAAUAUGUAAGGAAUUUUGGUCCAAUCCUUGAUGUAGAAUUCUCAGUUGAUGGCAAGAAUUUAAUCACCUCGAGUGAUGUGUCCGAAAGCAAUCUGAGCAAAAAUUCAAUCAUUGUUUGGCAUGUUUCCCUCCAAAUUCCGUUAUCCAAUCAGGUAAAUUCAUUAUAUGUCCUCUGGGGAUAAGCUCAGUUUUCAAAUAAUGAAAUAUUAAAAGGUAACUGCUUCCCUGUUUUCUAUAGGAGGUUUAACUACCUUCCCAUCCCCAUCCCCAUCCCCACCCCAAAAAUAAAAAUAAAAAUAAAUAAAGGGGUAAAAGAGAAAAAACUGAAAUAACCGAAUGAUCCGAAAUGAUUUUUUUGUGCACUUCAGAAUAUUAACGUUGAUUAAGAGUUGGAGUAACGGUAGUUAGACAUGUUUAACCUGAACUUCCUGGUCCUACAUAUAAAAGAAAUUGAUCUAAAUUUUACUCAAGGUUGACUUCUCAUGCAUUCAGUUCUGUGAAUACCCACGAGUCAAAAAUAGUUUUCCUUGCGCUGAAUUUAUAACAUAAAGAAGAUUAAUCUGCUUCAAAAUUGUGUCAUCUAGCUAGAAAUCUGGUCAUCAAUUUGUUUCAGUCUUAGUCUUUAAUACAAGUUCGGAUUAUGUUGUUUAACUAAAUGUGCAAACAACACAGUUAUAAGAAUUUGGUUUAAGCGAGGCCAGAAAAGGAAUCUAGUUCUGGACAAGACCCCCAAGAUUGCUGAAGUUGCCAGACAGAAUCUUGUUGUCAAUAUCUUCCUUACCAUAUGUUAUGGCUUAACAACCUUCAUAUAUGCUUCAUGGUUCCUUUGGUUCACCAUUGUGUUAAAAAUGUAAGUAAAGAAGGCUGUAGUCAUGGAAGUUAAAGAUAUUGUAGGAAUGGCAUGGCAUCUACAAAAAAUGGAUGGUGUACGAGAUUCAAUGCUAUGUUGUCAACUAUAGAUGAUAAUGUUAACAGGGGCUGAAGGACGACGGAUAAUUGUGCAUGAUGAACCAACUUGUUCUCCAUAUGGGAAGAUAUACCCCUUUGUUUCUUGCAGGGAUCUCAAUCGAUAAAGUGUAAAUGAGGCAAAGAAAAUAUAUUAACAAUAUUCAAGACGUAAAAUACUUACAAGAUUUUAUUUUUUAUUUUUUUAUUUUUUGGAAUUUAAAUUGUAUAAGCAAGAAAUUUCAUAUUUUGUAAUUGAAACAUAUUUAAAUAGAAUAUACUUAAAAAUAUUGACCCAGAACAUAAUAAAGGAAUUCAAUAAUUACUCAAAUUUAUAGAAGAGUUGAUGGUACAGGAAACAUGCAAUUUGAGCAUUCAAAGUAUGAGAGAGUUUAUAGAUAUGGAAAUAGUGUUUGGGUAUUAUUCUCGGAGUACAGCUAGAUUUGCUGGUUUGGAGUAUCUUGGAAUGUUGCUAGGUUCUUAGACUCAACUGAUGAUGGACUUUUAUCAUCAAAAAGCUUACCACUCUUUGCAAUUACGAGAAGUGGUAAUUGAUUUUACAUUUUCAAUUUGAGGUCUAGAGGAGCCUUGCUCAUGUACUCUAAAUUGACCCUCGGGAUUAGGUUGUGGUUGGGUUAGAAAUUUCCCCUUCCCCUGAAUGCUCAAAGAGGAUGUCAAUGACUUGUGAAGUUUGGUUGUUGAUGGUAGUUUUUUCCUUGCAUAAAAGCAUGCAAUGUCUCUUUAAUGGGUACAUAAUUUUCAUUCCUCCAACUAAAAUUUGGCCAACUCUUCCAUCCAUGAUGAGCUGUGGUUGAGUUGGAAAUAUUCCUUUCUCCAGAAUACCCAAAGAGGAUGUCAAUAUGGUGAGAUUGGUUCUCAUCUCAUUGAUGGCCUUUGAGUUUUGGUUGUUAAUGGUAUUUGUCCUUGGCAUAAUUGCAGGCAAUGCAUCUUUUAAGGGAUUUUUUUUUUAAGUGGAGCCUAUACUAGUACUUUGGGUGGAUGAUCCCUCCAUCAAAUGAAUUAUAGGUUUCAAAAUAUGGAGAACAGCAGAUGGCCCCGUCUUUUUCGUAGUAUCCAUGGAAGCAACUUGUUCACGCAAAACCUCUUUAAAGUCUAGAAUGGGGAGACUCUCAUGUGUAAGGUGACCGUGGUUACAAGUUUUCUUGCUAAACAAAGGAAACAACCUUAGCCUAACCACUUAGUCAAUCAAGAUUGGGACUUAAUAAGAUAAAGGCAUAUUUGGAUGGGUAUUAACAUUUAUGUUCACUCUAUCUUGUUGCUUUGAUUAUGCAGCUAAUUCAUGUUUUAGACAGAACUAUGGUUGUAUUUACCGUCUGGUCCAAUAUGAGACGUUAGAUUUUGUUGAAGUUUGUAAAAUGUUACUUUUCAGGUCUAUACAUUACACAAUUUUCAAGAACAAACAUGUUGAGUUUAUCAUGUGCCACUUAUUUUGUAAGUGCCAAUUGUUGAAGGUG
rnacentral:lncRNA from 1 species